GACGAACGCUGGCGGCGCGCCUAACACAUGCAAGUCGAACGAGCGAGCGAGAGCUUGCUUUCUCGAGCGAGUGGCGAACGGGUGAGUAACGCGUGAGGAACCUGCCUCAAAGAGGGGGACAACAGUUGGAAACGACUGCUAAUACCGCAUAAGCCCACGACCCGGCAUCGGGUAGAGGGAAAAGGAGCCAUCCGCUUUGAGAUGGCCUCGCGUCCGAUUAGCUAGUUGGUGAGGUAACGGCCCACCAAGGCGACGAUCGGUAGCCGGACUGAGAGGUUGAACCGCCACAUUGGGACUGAGACACGGCCCAGACUCCUACGGGAGGCAGCAGUGGGGAAUAUUGCACAAUGGGGGAAACCCUGAUGCAGCGACGCCGCGUGGAGGAAGAAGGUCUGCGGAUUGUAAACUCCUGUUGUUGAGGAAGAUAAUGACGGUACUCAACAAGGAAGUGACGGCUAACUACGUG
rnacentral:rRNA from 1 species